UUUCCCUUUCCUUUUCUCUCUCCUUCUCCAUAACUGCGCCGCAAGCAACGCCGCUCUCCUUCUCCUUCUCAGUCCAAAAUCGGCGUCAUUAGAACCAAGCACAACCACCUUCGCCGCCGCCGUCAAUUUGAACCAAAUACAACAACAACAAAAAACUUAAAUCAAUUAUAUUCAAAAAUCACAAAUCCGAGGUUAGGGUUUCUUGGAUUUGAAAUCUAGGUUUUAUGAUUUUUUUUUUUAUUAACAUUGAUUAUAUGAACAAUUGAAAUUUUGAUUGAAUUUAAUGGUGAGAAUGUGAGAUGAUAGGAUUUCUGAUUUUAUUUAUUUUUUUGUAAUUAUGGUGACGGUGGUCGGUGCUAGUGGUGGUGGUUUCGUGGGUGUGGUGGUUGCGACUAUGGUGGUUCGUUGCUUACUCCAGCACAAAGUCUUGCUGGGAAGACCAUAUGCAUAGAGUACGUCCAAAGAGGACUUGGUUGCCCGUUAAAUCUGUUGGAUCUGGUACUCAUGUGAAAGGAAAGGUACCAUUGGUUGUCUGUGUCACACGUUUGGUUGCUUAGAAAGGUCUUCAUUUGAUCCGCCAUGCUAUUAAACAUGUUGAAGAACUAGGCGGACAGAUGGUUGUGCUGGGAAGAGCUUCAAAUGGUCAAGUGGAAAAGGAAUUUGAAAGCCUUGCGACUUUGGUAAUGACCACAAUCACUUGAAAGUCGUACUCUGAAUUUUCUAAAAAUUGAAUAUUAAUUUGAAAUAUUCGAAUAGUGAAACAAGCUUACUCUGUAAUUAAUUCAGUCGGACCAUGAUAUCUUAUUUUUAACAUCCUUUAUGUGGUCUUGCUUAUGAAACUUAUAUGUUUGAAGCUGUUAAGAUUAAUUAAUUUUUGUUUUAUGAUUAUUGAGAAUCAGGAAUGAGAGAAGUGGUUGUUCUUUUACCUUCUAGGCACUUAAGCACUUAAACUGGGCUACGUUAUUGCAAACUUCUCCUUCGUUUUCAUUACAUAGCUACAUAAUUCAUACAUUUUUCA